rnacentral:rRNA from 1 species
UAAGCGAGUAGUGAAAUCUGGUGGCUCAACCAUCAACACAUUAUUCGAACUGGGCUGCUCGAGAGUGGUAGAGGUAGUUGGAAUUGCUAGUGUAGGAGUGAAAUCCGUAGAUAUUAGCAGGAACACCAAUGGCGUAGGCAGACUACUGGACCAUUUCUGACACUAAGGCACGAAAGCGUGGGAGCGAACGGGAUUAGAUACCCCGGUAGUCCACGCCGUAAACUAUGGAUGCUA